UGUCCUGUAGUGUAAUUGGCAACACGUCUGACUCUGGAUCAGAAGAGUAAAGGUUCGAGCCCUUUCAGGACAA
rnacentral:tRNA from 1 species